ACCAAGGCAAUGAUGGGUAAGAAGGCAGUGAAAUUGUGCAGCGAGCCGGGGUAUGGUGCAAGCCCGGUACAAGGAAACCGCCAGGCCGACCCGGAGUGCAAGCCGAAUUUUUAGUAAGCUUUGCCGGUUCUUCGCCGUUAUCGAAGUCUAAGUGGGUUGUCGGUGCACAGGCAACCAAUUAGGGUGGUACCACGGGUAAUACAACCUCGUCCCUUUC
rnacentral:ncRNA from 1 species